UAUUGAUUUGGUGGAUUUGAAAA
rnacentral:miRNA from 2 species